AUGAUACUCCCUCCGUUCGGAAUUAUUUGUCGCAUAAAUGGAUGUAUCUAGACGUAUUUUAGUUCUAAAUACAUCCAUUUCCGAGACAAGUAAUUCCGAACGGAGGGAGUACAUA
rnacentral:pre_miRNA from 1 species